UACGGGGGGGGCAAGCGUUGUUCGGAAUUACUGGGCGUAAAGGGCUCGUAGGCGGCCAACUAAGUCCGACGUGAAAUCCCCAGGCUUAACCUGGGAACUGCGUCGGAUACUGGAUGGCUUGAAUUCGGGAGAGGGAUGCAGAAUUCCAGGUGUAGCGGUGAAAUGCGCAGAUAUCAGGAGGAACACCGGUGGCGAAGGCGGUUCUCUGGGCCUUACCUGACGCUGAGGAGCGAAAGCGUGGGGAGCGAACAGG
rnacentral:rRNA from 1 species